CCAGAAAGAAAGAAAACUUUAUUAGUCACAUCAUUACUCAUGUACUAGAUCAUGCACAACUCAAGAUCUUUACCUUGGUCUUGGCAUUUUUAGUUUUCUGCAGGGGACUUAACUAAAAAGCUGCAGGAAGCUCAAAGGGCUAUGAAAAGCUGAAGCAUAAAUAAAAAGCAGAAUGUCAUUUAUUACAGCAACUACCAAAGACAUAACUCAUGUCGGGAUUCCGAUGAACUUAGAUAAGGAGGUGACUUAGGGAAAAUAUGGAAAUAAAAUAU